UUGACACUCAAGAUGGAUUAGCAGCCCCUCCCCCCAAAGGCUUGGUAAGCCCUCACACAAGAGGUGGUAGGCCUCCCAGCAUGCCCCAUACAUCCCAAUGUAUGCACAUAUAUAGAAUAUAAAUGUAUAGCCAUAUAGAGAAGCAUGAUAUAAACAGGUAUGCAUACAUAUGCAUAUAAUGCACACAGCAAAUUGAAUAUGUACACAUACAUGUAUGCAUAUGUGUAGCUGUACCUACAUAUAAAUAAUUUUAGAUUUAGAGCUGGAAGGGAUCUUUGAGACCCACUCACUCUUUUUUUUACACACUAGAAAACUGAGGCUCGAGUGAUUUGUGCAGGUUCCCACAGCUAGCAAGUGUGUGAGACAGGAUAUGUAUUCAGGUCUUUCAGAUUUUAAUCUACUUCCUGCCCUUAAUCCACUAAACCAUCCAGUUGCCUCAGUGAUAUCCAUACCCAGAUGAAUGCAUAGAAAGAGAAAGUUAUUCUCUGAGGUUCUUAAGUCAAAUGGCAACUCCAUUAGGGGACUGCUGAAAUAACUUAGUGGUCGGCUGUUAAUAAUUUCACCUUUAAACAUGAACCUCAAAAACCAGGAUCCAGAUACUCAUUCAUACUCUGGUUUUUGUUUGCCCUGUAGUUUUGAAGCUGAGGCAUAAUGGUCUCUGGGGAGAGGCUAGAUCCAAUUAAUAUUCAGCUUGAGGUCUUUUAGAAAGAUGUAAGUAAUUCUGUACCUUUGAGAGGGUCUAAGGAAACAUACACCUGAGACUUAAAUGACUCCUCAUUCACUGUGAGGUUGAACUUCAAUCCACCUGGGAGCCAGAGCAGAAGAAAGGACUCCAAUAUCAACAUUUUGAUAUUUCCUGGAAUAUUACCGGAGAUUGGUGAAGACCUUCUGGAAUGUGAAUGAACUUAUACAUUUGUAGACAUUUCCACCUACUCAGAGAAACAGGACUAUCAUUAUAUAAAACAGACAUUCCUUUUAAAAAGACUUUUUUCUUUGCAUAAAAUGUUAUUUUAUAUAAUGCUUUUAAAAAUCAAAACAAAUAUAGUCUAGUAUUCAUAAGCAACUCCCCUGAAAGGAGCAUUAGAAUCUACCUGAUGCCCAAGGGAUCUGGGGCAGAAAGCUAUAAUUUAUCAGAGCACAGGAACUAGGGCUUUGCCCCAGGGCACUGACAUUUAGAAGGUGCUGACAGCUCUUAAAUGCCUUCAGCAGAGAAGCAAUAACUAAUUAACUUUUUAAAAUUUUGUAUACAUUUAUAUAGGUAUAGAUUAUGAGUGUGUCAUCUCCCCUAUAAGAUAAACUCUUUGAGGGGAGGAACCAUUUAAUUUUGGUUUUUUAUCCAUGAACCCUGGCAUCAUGUCCAGCAUGUAAUGUUGAGAAAGAAAUAUUUGGUAAAAAAAAAAAUGGAAUAGCUAAAUGGUGAUGCUUCCUGUUCCAAUGGCCACACCAGAGGUUGGCUUUUGCCUAUCCCUUUCCUGUUCUCUCCCUACCCCCUGCCUAACUCCAAGGAUCAAAGAAGACAUUUUCCUGAGAGGAGAUUAACUUGUUUAAAUGCACUGAGUGAGGGACUUAGAAGAAUUGUACAGCAAAAAAUAAGGGAUAACUAAGACUAUUGAGUAGAAGGCAAGAGGCAGAUUUGGGUUCCAAAUAAAGAAAUUAAUGUUAUUCAAAAACAGAAAAGGAUUUACAACUAACUGCUAGGGGCCUUUAAAUUAAAAUGAAUCUGAAUGACCAUUUAUUGGGAGGUUUAUAGAAGGGUCAAAAAGAUCAUAGAUUGAGAAUUAGGAGAGAACUGGGAGUUUUUCUCUUGGCAGCUAGGUGGUACAGUGGAUAGAGCACUGGAUGUGAAAUCAGGAAGACUGAUCUUAGAUAUCUACUAGCUAUGUGACCUGGGUUAAGUCACUUAUCCAUGUUGGCCUCAGUUUCCUCAUCCAUAAAAUGAGUUGGAAAAAGAAAUGGUGAACCAUCCCAGUCUCUUUGCCAAGAAAAUCCCAAAUGGGGUCACAAAGAGUUGGAAAUGAAUGACUGAAGACAACACAAUGACAAAUUGGAAUCUAGCCCAGUCAAUUCAUUUUAUAAAUGAGGAAAAUAGGAGUAACAAUGUAAAAGGACUUGCCUAAAGUCACACAGAGAAGAGAAGACAAUAGUGGCAUUGGAACUCAAGUCCUCUGACUACAAAUCCUGUAUUCUUUCCCUUACAUUGCUGUUCAGGUAUAAAUUGAAUUAGAUGACUUAGGGUGCUUAUCACAAUGCCUAAUGAAUGCCUGUUGACUUAAAAGGACUCUUCCACAUCUGGAUUUCUAUGAUUCUGCCCCAAGGUCCUGGCAACUGCUCCUCUUACAGUCAGGGGAAUGGCUAUGUAAUCUCAUUCCCAGGGUGACUCUAGUCCCUAAAGGCCUCUUAGGACACUCAUCAGAGUUGCCCAGUGUUUUGGCCUGAGACAGCAGAUUAGCAGAGGAGUCUAAAUUCCAGCCAGACAGGCUGGCCAACUAGCAGAUAGAUACACAUGGACAAUAUGAUGGUAAGCUCUCCUUACUGCUGUGGUAUCCGAGCAUGAAAUGGAAUCCCAAGGAUCUCUCAGCUUACCGGGCAUAUGAUGAAACUGAACUCACUUUGAACUUGGUAAUGGGAGUCUGUUGAAAAGAUCCCAGGACUAGGAUCACUCCCUUCAUUUGGAGGACUUGGUUUAGGUUUAAAAGAAAAUGUUGAUUAAGCCAAUGCCCCUCUGUAGGUAAAGAAAAAAUGAUAACAUCAUAGAUUUAGAGUUGGAAGAGGAGGACUUAUGGGACAUCCAUUCUAAACCCUGUAGGUUACUACUGCAGAGCUGAGGCUCAGAGAGAUUGUGACUUGUCCAGGGUCACAUAAUAAAUAGCAAAAGUCCCUGUGUACCUAUGUAUCUAGUCCAGGGCUUUCCAUGACACCAGGCUGCCCAGAACUGGGUCCAAGGUGAUCUCACAGUAUGAUGUGAUGUGUUCUGUUCUCCAAACUCUCUCUCUCUCUCUCUCUCUCUCUCUCUCUCUCUCUCUCUCUCUCUCUCUCUCUCUCUCUCUCUCUCUCUCUCUCUCUCUCUCUCUCUCUCUCUCUCUCUCUCUCUCUCUCUCUCUCUCUCUCUCUCUCUCUCUCUCUCUCUCUCUCUCUCUCUCUCUUUCUCUCUCUCUCUCUCUCGAUCUCUGUGUGUGUGUGUUUUUCUGUCUCUCUCUCUGUCUGUUUCUGUUUGUCUGUCUGUCUCUCCCAUUUCCUCCCUCCCUCUCUUCUCUAAAGUGUCCAUCUAUCUAUAUCUAUAAACUAUCUUUCUGACUCUUUCUACAUAUAGGCAUACUGAUAAACAGAUUGGUAGUUGAUAGUUACCAACAUUUUAAUGAUCUAACAAAAACAAAUUAAGAGUCAGAAAAGGAGAGAGACCCGGAGACUGAGACAGAGAGAUAUAGAAAGAGAAUUUAGAGGACAGAGGGAGAGAAGAGAAGUUGGGGGGAGAGACUGAGGGAAGGGGGGUGGCUUUGGUGUGGUAGGCAGUAGUGUUUUACCUUUGUCCCUACCUCCAUGUCACAAACAAUGUCAACAAUGAGAAAUUUCGUAGGAGCCCUUUAGAGGAGAAGGCUUUAUAUUUUUUCCUUUCAAGCUGUCACAACCUGAAAGGAUGUAGGAAAAUGGGGGAGUGGAGAGGGGAGGAUGAACGGUGGUUUCUGUGUUCACUCCCUCCAGAGACAAACAACUUUCCUGAUAACGUUACCAUAGACCACAGAAAACUGACCUUAAACUGCCAAACUCAUUUCACUUAAGAUAUCAAUUGAAUUAUGGAGCCAGACACUUGAGGAGGGAAAGAACUAGAAUUCAAUCCCCCUGCAUCCUCCUAAAAACAAAAGAGUAUAUAUUUUUCAGGGAAAAAAUUGCUUUUUUCCUCCAACCUCCACUGUUGCUUCAGUAAGCUUUUAAACAUCAGCAGAUUCUACAGGGAUGAUAAACAAUUCAAAGAAGUGAACCAUUGAUCACAACCUUGCCCCUGACGCUUUUAAAUAUAUUAAGUCCAUACUUAGAGUAGAGGCAAAUGUGUAAAGGACAGAAGCACAACUGAGAGUGGUGAGGUGGGUACAGGACUGAAGAAUCCUGAGGUCAAAUAUCUCCCUUUUUCUCCCCCUUUUCUUUGUUUUUGUCUCUUUCUGCCUCCUCUGUCUCAAUUUCUCAAUGUCUGUCUCUACCUCUGUUUGUCUCCUUAAUUCAUCAACCAACCAGUCUGUUCAGAAUAUCAUAGUUCCUAAUAGAAGAGAUAAUAGGACUGUAUUAGUUUAACAGAAAGAAAGGAAGGAAGGAAGGAAGGAAGGAAGGAAGGAAGGAAGGAAGGAAGGAAGGAAGGAAGGAAGGAAGGAAGGAAGGAAGGAAAAGAAAGAAAGAAAGAGAGAGAGAGAGAAAGAGAGAGAGAAAGAAGGAAAGAAAGAGAGAAAGAAGGAAAGAAGGAAAGAAAGAGAGAGAAACAGAGAAAGAAAGAAAGAAAGAAAGAAAGAAAGAAAGAAAGAAAGAAAGAAAGAAAGAAAGAAAGAAAGAAAGAAAGA